GGGAAGCUGUAUCUGGCCUCCAGCAGAGAGCUGGUUCAGAUUGACCUGGGCAGCUGUGAGCAGUAUGGAGCCCAGUGUGAAGACUGUGUCCUGGCCAGAGACCCUUACUGCGGCUGGGACGGCAUUCAUUGCACCGCAGCUACAAAGUGAGACCAAGCACAGCCUGCUUUCAGAUUAUAGCAUCUGCUGUAUAGAUAUUUAAUGGUGAUUUGAAAAUAGAUUUCUCAAUAAUGGUUGCCGACAUAUUGCUUUCCUCUCUGUGUUUUCCUGUGAGCCUGUGAACCUUAUUUUCCAUCAGUUCAGCUCAACAUGGCCAGAAACAGUUUUUCCAGAAUGAUGUUAACACACAUGGCCCUUGUUCAAACUAAUGUGGUGUCAGAUGAGCCCACGAAAACAAACAAAAUAUAGUUCAAACAAAUGUGAUGUCAGAUGAGGCAUGAAAACAAACACAAUAUGAAACGUAACAUACAAGUCUGUCUGCAGUGUGUCUCAGUGGGAAAUGUUAGUUCUCACUCUGAUCCCCACCUGCUGUUAAAAGUAUACUACACUUCCUCUCGUGUAGUCAAACGCUCUAUGCACUGUGGUUUCAGUUCAGCUCUGCAGUUUUAAAUAACUAUCACUCUGCCCACCACAAGGUAGACACCCUACUAUACCAUAGACCGGAAUGAGGAACCUCUGAGAGAAAAGAGACAUUCACUAUUUUCUGGUUGAGUUGCUUGUUGAGACUCCUUAACUCAUAUGUGCUUGUCUUUUUACAGUAAGACAAUUCAGGAUGUGGAGAACGGGAACCAUCAGGUAUGCAGCAACAUCUCCAGAGGAGUUACUGCAAGUAAAGUUUCCUUUCCAAGGUCACUAGUUGGCGCUGCAGAUGGAAUCAGAAUUCCUCUAUCUUCAAAGUACUUCCUCAGUUGCCCAACCUUGUCCAGCCAUGCUGAGUACAGCUGGAGGCACCAUGGCAACACCACAGCAACACCGUGCAUCUCCACAGGGUCAGAGCACCAGUGUCUCCUGCUAAUAGAGAGCAUGGGCCCUGAGCAGCAGGGAACAUACAGCUGUGUGUCUGAGGAGAGGGGCUACCACAGGACCCUGGUGCAAUACAAGUUACAGCUAGACAGUGGGGCCACAGGCCUGGCCUCUCCCUGCUUGGCUUGUCUGGGUCUGGUACUAACACUGGUCCUGACUUUGCUCUGCUAG
rnacentral:lncRNA from 1 species